UACGGAGGGGGCUAGCGUUGUUCGGAAUUACUGGGCGUAAAGCGCACGUAGGCGGCUUUGCAAGUUAGAGGUGAAAGCCCGGGGCUCAACUCCGGAAUUGCCUUUAAAACUGCAUCGCUAGAAUUGUGGAGAGGUAAGUGGAAUUCCGAGUGUAGAGGUGAAAUUCGUAGAUAUUCGGAAGAACACCAGUGGCGAAGGCGGCUCACUGGCCCGGUACUGACGCUGAGGUGCGAAAGCGUGGGGAGCAAACAGG
rnacentral:rRNA from 1 species